rnacentral:rRNA from 1 species
GAGCGGCGGACGGGUGAGUAACACGUGGGCAACCUGCCCCAAAGCGGGGGAUAACAUUUGGAAACAGGUGCUAAUACCGCAUAACUCCGAAAAUCACAUGGUUUUCGGAUAAAAGAUGGUUUCGGCUAUCACUUUGGGAUGGGCCCGCGGUGCAUUAGCUAGUUGGUAAGGUAACGGCUUACCAAGGCGAUGAUGCAUAGCCGAGUUGAGAGACUGAUCGGCCACAAUGGAACUGAGACACGGUCCAUACUCCUACGGGAGGCAGCAGUAGGGAAUCUUCCACAAUGGGCGCAAGCCUGAUGGAGCAACACCGCGUGAGUGAAGAAGGGUUUCGGCUCGUAAAACUCUGUUGUUGAAGAAGAACGUGCGUGAGAGUAACUGUUCACGCAGUGACGGUAUUCAACCAGAAAGUCACGGCUAACUACGUGCCAGCAGCCGCGGUAAUACGUAGGUGGCAAGCGUUAUCCGGAUUUAUUGGGCGUAAAGCGAGCGCAGGCGGUUGCUUAGGUCUGAUGUGAAAGCCUUCGGCUUAACCGAAGAAGUGCAUCGGAAACCGGGCAACUUGAGUGCAGAAGAGACAGUGGAACUCCAUGUGUAGCGGUGGAAUGCGUAGAUAUAUGGAAGAACACCAGUGGCGAAGCGGCUGUCUGGUCUGCAACUGACGCUGAGGCUCGAAAGCAUGGGUAGCGAACAGGAUAGAUACCCUGGUAGUCCAUGCCGUAACGAUGAGUGCUAGGUGUUGGAAGGGUUCCCGCCCUUCAGUGCCGAAGCUAACGCAUUAAGCACUCCCGCCUGGGGAGUACGACCGCAAGGUUGAAACUCAAAGGAAUUGACGGGGGCCCGCACAAGCGGUGGGCAUGUGGUUUAAUUCGAAGCUACGCGAAGAACCUUACCAGGUCUUGACAUCUUGCGCUAACCUAAGAGAUUAGGCGUUCCCUUCGGGGACGCAAUGACAGGUGGUGCAUGGUCGUCGUCAGCUCGUGUCGUGAGAUGUUGGGUUAAGUCCCGCAACGAGCGCAACCCUUGUUACUAGUUGCCAGCAUUAAGUUGGGCACUCUAGUGAGACUGCCGGUGACAAACCGGAGGAAGGUGGGGACGACGUCAGAUCAUCAUGCCCCAUAUGACCUGGGCUACACACGUGCUACAAUGGCCGGUACAACGAGCAGCUAACCCGCGAGGGUGUGCAAAUCUCUUAAAGCCGGUCUCAGUUCGGACUGCAGUCUGCAACUCGACUGCACGAAGUCGGAAUCGCUAGUAAUCGCGGAUCAGCAUGCCGCGGUGAAUACGUUCCCGGGCCUUGUACACACCGCCCGUCACACCAUGGAAGUUUGCAAUGCCCAAAGUCAGUGGCCUAACCAUUUUGGAGGGAGCUGCCUAAGGCAGGGCAGAUGACUGGGGUGAAGUCGUAA